GGGGAUAACAGUUAGAAAUGACUGCUAAUACCGCAUAAGACCGCAUGGUAAAAACUCCGGUGGUAUGAGAUGGACCCGCGUCUGAUUAGCUAGUUGGUAAGGUAACGGCUUACCAAGGCGACGAUCAGUAGCCGACCUGAGAGGGUGACCGGCCACAUUGGGACUGAGACACGGCCCAAACUCCUACGGGAGGCAGCAGUGGGGAAUAUUGCACAAUGGGGGAAACCCUGAUGCAGCGACGCCGCGUGAGGAAGAAGUAUUUCGGUAUGUAAACUCUAUCAGCAGGGAAGAAAAUGACGGUACCUGACUAAGAAGCACCGGCUAAAUACGUACCAGCAGCCGCGGUAAUACGUAUGGUGCAAGCGUUAUCCGGAUUUACUGGGUGUAAAGGGAGCGUAGACGGAUGGGCAAGUCUGAUGUGAAAACCCGGGGCUCAACCCGGGACUGCAUUGGAAACUGUUCAUCUAGAGUGCUGGAGAGGUAAGUGGAAUUCCUAGUGUAGCGGUGAAAUGCGUAGAUAUUAGGAGG
rnacentral:rRNA from 1 species